GUUACAGUGACAGGAAGCUAACAUGUUAGAAGGGUCACUUUUGUAUCUGUAUCUUCGAUGAAAUAUAUUUGUUAUGCCUGUCUUCUGAGCACA